rnacentral:rRNA from 1 species
GGCUGCAACUCGCCUACAUGAAGUCGGAAUUGCUAGUAAUCGCGGAUCAGCAUGCCGCGGUGAAUACGUUCCCGGGCCUUGUACACACCGCCCGUCACACCAUGGGAGUCGGUAACACCCGAAGCCUGUAGUCUAACCGCAAGGAGGACGCAGUCGAAGGUGGGAUUNAUGACUGGGUGAAGUCGUAACAAGGUACC